rnacentral:rRNA from 1 species
CCUGUAAGCGGGGAAUAACCCGUUGAAAGACGGACUAAUACCGCAAUAAUACUAAAUUACUGCAUUGGUAAUUUAUUUAAACAUUUAUGGCUUACAGAUGGGCAUGCGCAUGAUUAGCUAGUUGGAGAGGUAACGGCUCCCCAAGGCAACGAUCAUUAGGGGUCUGAGAGGAAGGUCCCCCACACUGGUACUGAGACCACGGACCAGACUCCUACGGGAGGCAGCAGUGAGGAAUAUUGGUCAAUGGACGAGAGUCUGAACCAGCCAAGUCGCGUGCAGGAAGAAUGUUCCCUAUGGAUUGUAAACUGCUUUUGCAGGGGAAUAAAGUGCAUCACGUGUGAUGUUUUGUUAUGUACUCUGCGAAUAAGGAUCGGCUAACUCCGUGCCAGCCGCGGC